GAUGAACGCUGGCGGCGUGCCUAACACAUGCAAGUCGAGCGGACAGGCGCUGCUCUUGCUGCGUUCUCGAGUGGCGCAGACGUGUGUAACACGCGUGUAAACUCUCCCUGUAUUUGGGAUAAAUUCUGGAAAAUCGGGCGAAUACACGAUAGGAGCUCCUGAUGCACGGUGGGGGAUGGUAAGUUUCGGCGGUUGGGGAUGGUCUCGCGGCUUAUCAGCUUGAUUGGCGGGUAGGGGCUUUCGAGGGCUACGACGGGUAGCAGGCCUGGGAGGGUGACCGGCCACAUGGGUACUGAGAGACGGCCCAGACUCCUACGGGAGGCAGCAGUGGGAAAUAUUGCACAAUGGGCGGAAGCCUGAUGCAGCAACGCCGCGUGCGGAAUGACGUCCUACGGGUUGUAAACCGCUUUCGCCUGUGACGAAGCGUGAGUGACGGUAAUGGGUAAAGAAGCACCGGCUAACUACGUG
rnacentral:rRNA from 1 species